CUUCCCCGGGCUCGGCGCCUUUCCUUUUACUUCACUGGAAAAUCCGCUCCGGGUCUUCCUUACGCCUGUCUCCCUUCCCCGACUCCCCGCUCCAACGCGGGGGUCCAGCACGUCGCUUUCCCUCUCUCUGCUUUUCCAGGGAGGAGGCGAGAGGAGGCGAAAGGAAGGAAACUCCAGCACGGGUUUUCGGGCCGGCUCCUGGGGCGCUCAAGCGGGUUGCGGCGGCCAGUCCCGGGCGGCGACUCCGGGCCGGAUUUUGCGCGCGCCCACCGCCCCCCUCCCGGAGCGGGUGCGCCGGGGAGAGGGGAGAGCUGGCGGCUUGUCAUUGCUGGUUCCCGGCUCCGGCUCGGUCCGCGCGUCCUGCGGUGCCCACGGGCCCGGCCUGGCGCCCCCCCCUCCGGCCGCGCCGCCCCUCUCCGCCAGCUCCGCGCCGCCCGCCCCCAACCCGAGCUCCCCGCGGCCACUGCGGGGAGCCCGAGCCGUCGGCGCGGGAGCUGUCGGCGCUGCGGUGCCCCCGCCCCGCCGUCUGCCGAGGAGGCCCCGGCUGAGGGGGCCGCGCGGGCCCCGGAGCGGCGCCGCCGAGCGGCGGGGGCCUGCAGGGGCGCCCCCGCUGCCCCGUUAACCCCUCGUCCACCGCCGCCGUCGGAGGGGGCUGGGAAGUCGCCUGGGCACACACGUGCCGCCUCCGUUGGGGCCGCGGAGCUGCGGGGGAGAUGCGGGCCGCUGCCGGCGCCGCCUCGGGGCGCUCCGCCUCGCCCCAGCCCCCGGCGCUCUGACGCCGCCCCCGCCCCACAGCCUCCCUCCCCGGGAGGGGCGCAGACCCGAUCGCCCCCAGUCCCGAGCCUCCGCCGCCGCGAGGGGGCCGCCUUUGGAUCCGUGUAAUCCGCCUCUUUUUUUCUAUUUUCUUUUUUUUUUUUUUUUUUUUUUUCUAAUUUUUGGUUGGUGGCGGCGGUGCUGGGCCAGGGGAAGGAAGGGACACGGAGGCCGCCCUCGCCCCGCCACCUCCUACCAGCUUCCCCCCAGCCCCGGCUCCGGGAGAUGUGCCGGGCGGGGGGCCCGGGUUCGCCGAGCCGCAGGAGAGACACGCUGGGCCGACCCCAGAGCGGCGCUGGACAGGAAAACAUUUAAAGUUGAUGAUAUGUUAUCAAAAGUAGAGAAAAUGAAAGGAGAGCAAGAAUCUCAUAGAUAAGCCAUCACCAAACUCAGAAAAUGAACAAAAUUCUGUUACCCUGGAAGUCCUGCUUGUGAAAGUUUGCCACAAAAAAAGAAAGGAUGUAUGUUGUCCAAUAAGGCAAGUUCCCACAGAGUGACUCGUCCAAGAAGAAGAGAGUUUAAUGGAAUGAUUAAUGGAGAAACCAUGAAAAUAUUGAUGUCAGUGAAGAGCUUCCAGCCAGAAGAAAAUGAAAUCGUGAGGAUGGGGAAAAGACAUUUGUUGCACAAAUGACAGUAUUUGAUAAAAACAGGUAAUGUUGAUGAACAAGCGAGGCUCCCACAAUGUUCUGGAAAUGUUUUCAUUCUGAAGCAGAAUAUAA
rnacentral:lncRNA from 10 species